rnacentral:rRNA from 1 species
GCCUAACACAUGCAAGUCGAACGAGCAAGAGAGAGCUUGCUUUCUCGAGCGAGUGGCGAACGGGUGAGUAACGCGUGAGGAACCUGCCUCAAAGAGGGGGACAACAGUUGGAAACGACUGCUAAUACCGCAUAAGCCCACGGGUCGGCAUCGACCAGAGGGAAAAGGAGCAAUCCGCUUUGAGAUGGCCUCGCGUCCGAUUAGCUAGUUGGUGAGGUAACGGCCCACCAAGGCGACGAUCGGUAGCCGGACUGAGAGGUUGAACGGCCACAUUGGGACUGAGACACGGCCCAGACUCCUACGGGAGGCAGCAGUGGGGAAUAUUGCACAAUGGGGGAAACCCUGAUGCAGCGACGCCGCGUGGAGGAAGAAGGUCUUCGGAUUGUAAACUCCUGUUGUUGGGGAAGAUAAUGACGGUACCCAACAAGGAAGUGACGGCUAACUACGUGCCAGCAGCCGCGGUAAAACGUAGGUCACAAGCGUUGUCCGGAAUUACUGGGUGUAAAGGGAGCGCAGGCGGGAAGACAAGUUGGAAGUGAAAUCUAUGGGCUCAACCCAUAAACUGCUUUCAAAACUGUUUUUCUUGAGUAGUGCAGAGGUAGGCGGAAUUCCCGGUGUAGCGGUGGAAUGCGUAGAUAUCGGGAGGAACACCAGUGGCGAAGGCGGCCUACUGGGCACCAACUGACGCUGAGGCUCGA